UGGUAUUGCUAGCCUUUUAGCAAUUUCUGUUUUGGUUAGAGUUUUGGUGAAAAUGGUAUUGGCAGCCAUUGAAGCUACUUUGCUGUUGCCGAUGAGAUGUAGCAAAAGGGAACAAACGCAACAAUUAAAUAAAACAGAGCCUAGGGAGAGCAAGCCACAGUCAAAGGCACCAUUGAAUUUUAUUGGUGAGGAUUCAUUAUCUGUCGAAAGAUUUCUUAGGCGAAAGGUGCAUUUGCUUUCAUCUUUUAAUUAUAAUAAAGUAGGUGUCUACACUGCUUGAAAUGGAGAAAAUGGUUCGGAGAAAAUGUCUACACAGUCAUCAAGUUAUUAAAAAAAUAGGGGAACCGAGAAAUGUGAAUGGCGUGGCGGUCCACGUAGGACAUGACAUAACCUUCGACGCAAUCAAGCAGCUUCAUGGUGUUUAUCUGUGAGCCCUUUCAUUUUUUCCCGAAAAUAAACCCUUUUAUUUGAUGAGUUCGAUAUUUAUUUACAAAAUAUUUUGAAAAGUAUUUCUUUUUA
rnacentral:misc_RNA from 1 species